AAAAAAAAAAAAAAAAAAAAAGAAAAGAAAAGAGAAACAUGGCAGCAAGAGAAUGAAUAAAUGCAGGCCACCUGGCUCAGAGCCGCAGGACUUGAAUUCAGAUCCCAGCCCCCUGGCUGACCUCCCUGUGUAAGUUCUACUGACCUAAUCCAUAAAGGAGGGGAGGGAUGAGUUCAUCGCUGGGAUUCCUUCCAGCCCCCAAACUCAAUAUUUUGUAUCCACAUAGGAAAAAGAAAGAAUAUUUAUGCAGUCGUCCCACUGAACUGGAGCAGGGAAGAAACCUGCCUGGAUGAUUCAGGCUCACAUACACAAUCAUCUCCAAAUAUGCUUCCCUUCUGUCAAAUGCCAUCUCCUAAAUAUCACCAGAGCAACCUGCGGAGAAGGCAAGGCUGAGUUGAUUGUUCACCGUGGUAAGAUAAUGCUGAAAUUAACAUCUUUGGAUAUACAAUUCUCUGCUUCUGAAGAAUGAAAAGAUAAAUAACAGAGCUAAGAAAGGGACUGAUGAAACUUACAACAGCAGGUCUCAAAUUUUUGGUCUCAGGACCCCUUUAUGCUCUUAAAAAUGAUUGACAGCCUCCAAGAGCUUUUGUUCAUGCUUUGGUAAGGCUGUGAGAGCACAGAGCUGAAUUAGGGAUCUUGGACUUCAAGUUACUGACUAGCCCCAGCACUCGCCAAGCUCACAAAGAAGACAGAAACGAGGUAAACAUCCAACCAUGUUUAUGGAAGAGUUCAUCUCUCUGUCAGCAUUACGUACAUGCAGAAAGGUGUAAAAAAUCAUAACAGCGCUGUUUGCAUUUUUCAGAAACGGAACACACCUAUAUUAUGUCUCUUUUUAAGGAGGUUUUUGGGUGGCUUUUGUUUAGAGGCAGAGUAGAAUAAUAGAAAAACAACCUGGGGUUUACCUUUAGGACUCUCUCUCUCUCUCUUCUGUAAAUGUAAGGUUCGGCAAAAAAAUUCAUUAAACUUUUGUCCACCUUUAA